GCUCAAGUGGUCUAACGGUUAUGAUGCGACCUUCCCAUGCAGUUCCACUUCACGAUCAGGUCGCGAACGGGGUUCGACUCCCCGCUUGAGCA